CAGUAGCCGCGGUAAUACGUAGGUGGCAAGCGUUGUCCGGAAUUAUUGGGCGUAAAGGGCUCGCAGGCGGUUUCUUAAGUCUGAUGUGAAAGCCCCCGGCUCAACCGGGGAGGGCCAUUGGAAACUGGGGAACUUGAGUGCAGAAGAGGAGAGUGGAAUUCUACGUGUAGCGGUGAAAUGCGUAGAGAUGUGGAGGAACACCAGUGGCGAAGGCGACUCUCUGGUCUGUAACUGACGCUGAGGAGCGAAAGCGUGGGGAGCGAACAGGAUUAGAUACCCGUGUAGUCCCUGUCUCUUAUAC
rnacentral:rRNA from 1 species